rnacentral:rRNA from 1 species
AACGAACGCUGGCGGCAUGCCUAACACAUGCAAGUCGAACGAGACCUUCGGGUCUAGUGGCGCACGGGUGCGUAACGCGUGGGAACCUGCCCUUAGGUUCGGAAUAACUCCCCGAAAGGGGUGCUAAUACCGGAUAAUGUCUUCGGACCAAAGAUUUAUCGCCUUUGGACGGGCCCGCGUUGGAUUAGCUAGUUGGUAGGGUAAAAGCCUACCAAGGCGACGAUCCAUAGCUGGUCUGAGAGGAUGAUCAGCCACACUGGGAUUGAGACACGGCCCAGACUCCUACGGGAGGCAGCAGUGGGGAAUAUUGGACAAUGGGCGAAAGCCUGAUCCAGCAAUGCCGCGUGAGUGAUGAAGGCCUUAGGGUUGUAAAGCUCUUUUACCCGGGAUGAUAAUGACAGUACCGGGAGAAUAAGCUCCGGCUAACUCCGUG